rnacentral:lncRNA from 1 species
CCGGUUUUAGUUUCGACAGCGAAUCGACCAGGAAUGCAAGCUGGGUUGUCGCCCCCGUUGAUCCGGCAGAUUCCACUGGGCGCUACUGGUGGGUGCUGAACCCUAACAAGCUUUUGACUUUGGAGAAGUCGGCAUGGCUGAGAGGGAUGAGGGUGCCCCGAAACGUCGGGGAAGGUAGAGACUGCCAGGCUAGUGGCCACGGG